rnacentral:rRNA from 1 species
ACACGACUCUCGGCAAUGGAUAUCUCGGCUCUCGCAUCGAUGAAGAGCGCAGCGAAAUGCGAUACGUGGUGCGAAUUGCAGAAUCCCGCGAACCAUCGAGUCUUUGAACGCAAGUUGCGCCCGAGGCCAACCGGCUAAGGGCACGUCUGCCUGGGCGUCAAGC